UUUAAGUGCAGUUGUAGUUUUCCGUAUAUAAAUGUUUGACCGUUCAUCUUAUCCGAAAGAUUUUUAUGAUUAGUAUUUUUGUUGUUAUUAGAUAAUAAAACAUAAAUAGUACUUUAUGUUUGAUUUCUUUUAUAAAUUUUUCAAAUAAGACGGACGGUCAAAGAUUGGACACGGAAAUUUACAACUGCACUUAAA
rfam:Oryza punctata chromosome 1, whole genome shotgun sequence.